rnacentral:rRNA from 1 species
AUACGUAGGGGGCGAGCGUUGUCCGGAAUUACUGGGCGUAAAGCGCGUGUAGGCGGGGGAGCAAGUCUGAUGUGAAAGCCCCGGGCUUAACCCGGGAAGUGCAUUGGAAACUGUUUUUCUUGAGUACUGGAGAGGAAGGGGGAAUUCCCGGUGUAGAGGUGAAAUUCGUAGAGAUCGGGAGGAAUACCAGUGGCGAAGGCGCCCUUCUGGACGGUUACUGACGCUGAGACGCGAAAGCGUGGGGAGCAAACAGGAUUAGAUACCCUGGUAGUCCACGCUGUAAACGAUGAGCACUAGGUGUAGCGGGUACUCAUUCCUGCUGUGCCGCAGCUAACGCGUUAAGUGCUCCGCCUGGGGACUACGGUCGCAAGACUAAA